rnacentral:tRNA from 1 species
CGAGGUGUGGCUCAGUUUGGUAGAGGGCUGCGUUCGGGACGCAGAGGCCGUGGGUUCAAGUCCCGCCACCUCGACCA